rnacentral:rRNA from 1 species
UACGUAGGGGGCAAGCGUUGUCCGGAUUCAUUGGGCGUAAAGAGCGUGUAGGCGGCCAUGUAGGUCCGUUGUGAAAACUGGAGGCUUAACCUCCAGACGUCGAUGGAAACCACAUGGCUAGAGUCCGGAAGAGGAGAGUGGAAUUCCUGGUGUAGCGGUGAAAUGCGCAGAAAUCAGGAAGAACACCCGUGGCGAAGGCGGCUCUCUGGGACGGUACUGGCGCUGAGACGCGAAAGCAUGGGGAGCGAACAGG